UACGUAGGUGUCAAGCGUUGUCCGGAUUUAUUGGGCGUAAAGCGCCCGCAGGCGGCUUGCCAAGUUCGAUGUGAAAUCUCCCGGCUCAACUGGGAGGGUGCAUCGAAAACUGGCAGGCUUGAGGCAGGGAGAGGGAUGUGGAAUUCCAGGUGUAGUGGUGAAAUGCGUAGACAUCUGGAGGAACACCAGUGGCGAAGGCGGCAUCCUGGCCCUGUCCUGACGCUCAGGGGCGAAAGCGUGGGGAGCAAACCGG
rnacentral:rRNA from 1 species